rnacentral:rRNA from 1 species
GCUAAGUGUUGGAGGGUUUCCGCCCUUCAGUGCUGCAGCUAACGCAUUAAGCACUCCGCCUGGGGAGUACGGUCGCAAGACUGAAACUCAAAGGAAUUGACGGGGGCCCGCACAAGCGGUGGAGCAUGUGGUUUAAUUCGAAGCAACGCGAAGAACCUUACCAGGUCUUGACAUCUUCUGACAAUUCCAGAGAUGGAACGUUCCCUUCGGGGACAGAAUGACAGGUGGUGCAUGGUUGUCGUCAGCUCGUGUCGUGAGAUGUUGGGUUAAGUCCCGCAACGAGCGCAACCCUUAUUACUAGUUGCCAGCAUUGAGUUGGGCACUCUAGUGAGACUGCCGGUGACAAACCGGAGGAAGGUGGGGAUGACGUCAAAUCAUCAUGCCCCUUAUGACCUGGGCUACACACGUGCUACAAUGGACGGUACAACGAGUCGCUAACUCGCGAGGGCAAGCUAAUCUCUUAAAGCCGUUCUCAGUUCGGAUUGCAGGCUGCAACUCGCCUGCAUGAAGUCGGAAUCGCUAGUAAUCGCGAAUCAGCAUGUCGCGGUGAAUACGUUCCCGGGCCUUGUACACACCGCCCGUCACACCAUGAGAGUUUGUAACACCCAAAGUCGGUGGGGUAACCUUUUGGAGCCAGCCGCCUAAGGUGGGACAGAUGAUUGGGGUGAAGUCGUAACAAGGUAGCCGUAGGAGAA